UACGAAGGGGGCGAGCGUUGUUCGGAAUACUGGGCGUAAAGCGUGCGCAGGCGGUUUUGCAAGCCGGAUGUGAAAUCCCCGGGCCUCAACCUGGGAAUGGCAUUCGGGACUGCAAGGCUGGAGUGCGGCAGAGGAGACUGGAAUUCCCUGGUGUAGCAGUGAAAUGCGUAGAUAUCAGGAGGAAUACCGAUGGCGAAGGCAGGUCUCUGGGCUGACACUGACGCUCAUGCACGAAAGCGU
rnacentral:rRNA from 1 species